UACGUAGGGGGCUAGCGUUGUCCGGAAUCAUUGGGCGUAAAGAGCGUGUAGGCGGCUCGGUAAGUCCGCUCUGAAAGCCCGGGGCUCAACCCCGGGAGGCGGGCGGAUACUGUCGGGCUAGAGUCCGGAAGAGGCGAGUGGAAUUCCUGGUGUAGCGGGUGAAAUGCGCAGAUAUCAGGAGGAACACCAAUAGCGAAAGGCAGCUCGCUGGGACGGUACUGGACGCUGAGACGCGAAAGCGUGGGGAGCAAACAGG
rnacentral:rRNA from 1 species